AAUGAUGAAAGCAAAAUACAUUUAAUAAUAUUACACUGGAGACAGCAUUUGACACCACCGAACUAUUUUAACUCGGAUUACUCAACAAGGAUCAAGCCCUGGACAUCGGCCAAAAUGAACCAUAUGCAGUAUUCUAAUUUUUGGUUUAUGUUUCUCGUUUUCACUUUGAUCUCGCGGAAUGUUAAUGGAGUCUGUAAGCCACAACCAGAAUGCGGACGAGCAACACCAAAGAAUGUUAAGUUUUCUGGUCCUAUUACUGGGCCGAGAUAUUAUUCGCAUCCGGGACCACUAACUUUGACCUGUAAUGCAUCUGGUGAUAUACAAGAGAUGU